AUCCUCCCGCGCUAGGGAAGGCGUCGCGGCCGCCCAUCCUCCCGCACCGGGGAAGGCGGCGCCGCCGCCCAUCCUCCUGCGUCGGAGAAGGCGUCGCAGCCGCCGUUCCUUCGCGUGACCAGAGAUGCAACCGUUGUCGUUGUUCAUCCGCACAGCUAGGAAUGAAGCACGUACUGACGCACCCGUCAUCCUAAACUGCAGUAGUUCAACAGAUAACAAAACACAGAGAUUUCAAGCAGGCCUCCUAUCAUCAACAGUUUUCAAGCACCAGUGUACGUCUAGAUCCCAAUAAUGCAUCAUCACAUUGCUUUUACUAGACAACUACAUGUUUGUUUGCCAUGAUUAUUUUAAUAAUAAAGCAAAAGCUUAUUUGCUUGUUGCUUCCCUGUUUAAAUCUUCACUGGAAAGGCAUUACACAGUUACUAAUAAGCAGAGUAUACUCUUAAUAAGUAUGUGUGGUAAUCAACUCUGAUCAAUACUAAGUCGAUUUCAGAAAUCUGGAAAACAGAAAAACCAAAUCCAUGCCCACAGCAACUAUUAAUCGGUGAGGAGAAUUUCACAAUACAGCCCUAGAUAGGAUGUAGCAGGAAACAGGGAUGAGGAACUGUCUCAAUCUAACCCUUGCCUACAACUUAAGAAGAGAAGAAGCAAGAUAAGGGAGACGAAUCGGAGAGAAGAAGCAAAUGGCCACUGCAUCGCCGUCGCUACCGCCGGAGAGAUGGCCGCCCCAUCCCUAUCACAUCUGCCUUGCAGUGCAGCCUCACAGCACUAUGUUCCUGUCCAAUCCACAUCUUAUUUCCAUGCAUGAAUGUCUAACGCAAGGAGAAGACCCUCUAGCCUCUACGAGCGCUUGCCCAAGCUAGCGUCACCGGCAGCAACUACGCAAUCAUGUCCUUGCCCCCAGCCCCUGAAACCUCUCACCAACGUGUACUUCCUCCCAUCUUAUCCUCAUGAAGGUUCAAAGUGCCAACCAAGGAUUCUCUUCCAUCUUUUUCAUAAUUGGUGGGCUAAUCUUCUAAUGUUUUGCCCCCAGCAAUUGAUUCCUAACAAAAUUUACGUCCCUGUUUUGCCUCCUGCUCACCCUAAUUCAUGUGGAGCUAGCAACUUAAAUUGGGCAUGGAACAAUUCGUAAGUGCCAUUAAUUACAGUUUGUACGUACAGUUUUGCUUCUUCAUUUUCCUAUGUGAUUACUUUACCUCAGCUCAUUGAUUUUAGGCGUUCUUUAAAAUUAUAACAAGAGGGUAUAUAAUGAGGUAUAUGUGAUAUUUCAGUUUUUGUUCUUUCAAUUGUUUUCGUCUUACCUCUAAUUUAUUUCUUUAUUAUAUAGCUCCUUUUAUUUCCUCGUUGAACUUGAACCACAUGUGGACCAGUAUGCGCACGCCUCAUUGCAUUGAUAUUUGUAAUAGGGAGAUAUUGUCCCUCUUGCAUUGUAAUAAAUAAAUCAUGGUAUCUGUGUUUGGCUCACGGCUCACCUACCUUUGAUUAUACACGUGAUAUUUUUUUUGGAAAUGUAUUGUAUAAUACACUAAUGCUUUUCACAAUUUUUGUUUUAGUGAGUAACUACAUAUUUGGUAGCUAGAUUGUCCACUUCCGACAAAUGGAUAUUAGACGUCUAAUUAUACGUGCACUCCAGACCAUUCUAUAAAUCAGGUAUGCCUAAUAUUUCUUUGAAAUGACUACAUGGUUGUGUCCAUGGAGCCAUGUGCUACUUUCAAGUGCGGGGUAAUAAGCCGGUACGUAACAAUACCCUUGAUGUUGCAUGCUAUUUGGGCACUAUGUGUGUCACAUGGCUUGGUUUAAGCAUUCAGUAUUACAUAGGCAUUGCCUUUGUUAUCGAAAAUAGUUUAGAUGUAUCAUCGUUUGCCUAAAUUUGGCUAGAGUUGAGAUGAAAUCUCCUAGCUAUGAGAUAACAUAGUAUACAGAGUGUUCUGCACUAGAUUAGAUAGGGUGGUGAUCUACUUUUCUUUCUGUUCAGACUUUCAGUUUGGUUGCAUCUUGCCAUGUCUUAUUGGAGAGAACAUGUAGCCAUCAGUUGAUAACUCAAAUUAUCCCGAAUAUGGUGAUGCUUUUUUUUGUGUUGUUGCUUCUGCAGGUUUUGAGAAUUUUAUUCAUGGAUCAGGAAAUUAUAAUUUGUGACUUUGUAAUUUUCAGAUUCUUAUCUCAAUGAGCCAUGGAUAUUCAAAACGUGUGCAGACAUUUCUAUGGUCACCAAGAUAAAAUGAUGAUGCAUGGCUCAGAUGUUGAUUGCAAGGUUAAGAAUUGGAGCUACUACAAGAUAAUUAGAACGCCAAUUUUAGGAUUAAUGUUUCAAACAUUAUAGUUGAUUGCAAGGUCAAGAAUUGGGCCACUACAAGAUAUAGUUUAACCUCCUGUAAUCUUUGGAUCAUGUUUUUUGUAAUGCAACA